UGACAGUGCUGAUGUAAUCCAUGAGCAAACAGCGUGGACCAAAACAGUCCCCAGGAGAGGCUGGUGCAGGAAGGCUCAGACACUGUGUUCUCUGACAUAAUUUAUAGGCCCAUGGCAUAUGUGGGGAACUGAGAGGUCUUUGGUCAACAGUCACUGGGGACCUGGGUCCCGCCAACAACCACAUGAUUCAUUUUGGAAGCAGAUCCUCCCCUACAUGAGCCGUCAGAUGAUCACAGCCACAUAUGACAGCUUGAUGGCAACCUCAUGAGAGACACAGAACUGAAACCACCCUGAUUCCUGACCCACAGAAAUUAUGAGCAUCUCAGCAUCUCAGAGGCGAAGAAACUGGCCUAGCCAUCACAUGGUGGCACUUGCAGCCUGAGUCAGCAGAUCCCCAGGCAAAUGAAGACUUUGAGAUGAAGACAGCUGAGCUCAUGAUGGGGUAGGUCAGCCUCCGUCAUGGAAAUUCUGUGUGCCUGAGGCCCACCCUUCCAGUGCAGAUGGAGGGAUGGGAUGGAAAUGAAUCUAGGGGAAUGCAUCCCAGCUGUGAUCCAGCCACCUCUGCGUUUGAAGGCUGGGGGUUAUUCCCUCCUCAUGGUUGCCACGCAUUCCUAUGUUUGCGUGUCAUGCUUGGAACUGCUGCAGCCACUUUGUGACAGACUGAGAAUGAAUCCAGCGCUAAAAUCAGUCUAGCAAAAGGAGGAGAAACACCUGGGUCUCCAUGAUGUCACUGAGCAAGUGAAUUGACCAGCUGUGAGGAUAUAAGCAUAAGAUGUCUGGAACGAUCUUCAUCCAAUGCUAGCCAUCGCUAUUUCUAGACGGUGGAAUUUCUAGAUGGCGGAGUCUGGGAGAGACAUUCAGAAUUGGUCAUGGCUUUCCGGGAAGAUCAUCUGGAGACACCCCCUGGACCAAUGGCAUUUUCUCUCCCAAGUCUUUGCCUCCAGAUGGCCUCAAGAGAUGAAGCUGAAUAGAGACAUUUCCCAAACUCAACAGUCUGACCAGGAAGGCAAUGAGCCAGAACAGAAAAUAUCGAUGAGAACCUAGAUGUUCUAUCAAACCAAACCCUUGCCAGGAAGAGGAACACAUUAGCACUUGAGGUCAGUUGGCAUGUUUGGGCAACUGUGGAACAGGGAACACAAUUCAGAUUUAUCUUCACCAGCUCCAUGAGUGAAGCCCGGUCAUGGGACCUCUCUGAGCUUCAGUAUUCUCAUCUGUAAGAUGGGAAAUAAUAUCUUAUUACAGGGCAGGCUGUUGGAUGGAUUAAAAUGGAAAUGAAGGUGUUUUGCUUGUAAUUGCAGAUGCUGGUGGGAUUUAGGAGAUUGUCUAGCAGUGGUGGUAUCAUUAUGCAGAGAAGCAGUGGAGGUGUGGAUCACCACCGGGUACCCAUCGGGGAAGGGCAUUCAUGAUCCCCAGAAAUGGCACCACUGAGGCAUGACAACCUUUGAAAUUGUUUACUUGGGCAAGAGACACUCAACCUAUACAGGGACUACCUGCCAUCAGCACAGAAUGGUCUAAAAUUGGCUUUGGGAAAAUGGCCUAGAAUCACAUUUUGAUUCUGCGUUUGUGAAUACAAACUCUAAAGUCAGAGUUGUACCAACAUUGAUGAAUUUUCACAAAGGAAGCAUUUUUCAGAGCAAACUCCCUUAAGCUAAUUUAAUUACUGGAUCGAUGUCUUGCAUAGCAUAGUUAAAUUGUUUCUAAUUUUUUUGGAAACAUUUUUACUGGGGUCAAUUCUUUUGUGUUUAAAUUUUAUAAAUAUUUGCUUCAUCGAUCAGGAUUUGGACCACAACAAAUUUUACUAAUUUAUAACUUCUGCCAUUUUGAGUUUUGUUUUGCGGUUAUUAUUUCCACUAAGUCCAUUUCUCCUGGGUCAAAAUUGUACAGAGAUCCAAAAUUAGCUAAGAAGAUUUGAGUCAUCUAUGGAUUUUUAGUCAAUACCAAAUUUCACCCUGUGUGCUUUCAGCUCUUGUCAGUUUAUUUUGUGUGGUUUAUUUUUUACCAAUAAUAUUCACUGUGAAUUGGGCAAAAAAGAUAGAUGGUUAAUAUUUAUUUUUUUUAGCUGAUAAUAAAUCCUGAGUGAUUUUGUAAGACAGAGGCAGAGAGAAGCAGAGAAGGGGAGAGGAUAGAAGAGAGGAAGAGAACUAGGGAGGAGGAAGAGAUCCAGAUGCAAGGAGGUACCAAGCAAAACACGAAGACAGAGACAGAAAGAGAGAAAAAAGAUGAGAAAGAGAAAGUGAGGAAGAGAAACAGAGAAGGAGAAAGGGAUGGUAGUAAGGUACAGAGAGGGAGAGAAUAAAAAGUGAGAUAUAUUAAUUGCAAGAAACUAAGAGAAAAAAGGGGGGAAAGAAAGAGAGAAAAAGAGGAUAGAAGAAGGUAACGGGGAAGGAGUGAGAAGGACAGUGAUAUGGUUUGUCUGUGUGCCCACCCAAAUCUCAUCUUGAAUUGUAGCUCUCAUAAUUCCCACCUGUUGUGGGAGGGACCCAGUGGGGGAUAAAUGAAUCAUGGGGGCAGUUUACCCCAUAAGGUUCUUGUGGUAGUGAAUAAGUCUCAUGAGAUAUGAUUGUUUUAGAAGAGUUUUCCCCUUUUACUUGGUUCUCAUUCUCUCUUGCCUGCCACCAUGUAAGACAUGCCUUUCACCUUCCACCAUGAUUGUGAGGCCUCCCCAGCCACAUGGAACUAUGAGGACACUGAGGCCCAGAGAUCUCUGCCCAAUGUUUCCAGACCGGUCUGUCACUCACCAAAGCAGUGUGCCUUCAGGACACCAUUGCCGGGCUCCCCCAGUGCAAGGCCUCAGCUGGGAUGCAGGGUCAGAGAACUGGCUCUGCAUACUUUGUGAAAGUUGGGAAAGUCUAAAUAUUUCUCUAAGCCUUGAUUUCCCCAUCUGACAGGAAGGAAAACAUAAUCUGUCUCCUAUGUUUAUGCACUGGUUGAAUGAAGUCACAGCCAUAAAUUUGUUUGGUGAAUUGCAAAGCACUAUGCAAUGCUGUAUUUUCUUCACCACAACUCAUGCUCUGACAUAUGAACAGUAUUGGUUCUUUCUGGAAUGUUACUCUUUAUAGAGCUUCUUAGAUUGUACUUUUCAAGGGUUGAGGUCAGAGCUAACCAUUCUGCUGCAGAUUUCACGAAGCAUAGCAUUUUUAUAAUAUUAGAAAGAUGGCUCAAAAAGGUUUUCUUUGUUCAGACUUUUCUUGAACAUUUACUAUGUGCUGGAAGUUGCACUCUUUGCCUGAAUAUCUCAUUUAAUCUUUACAGUGCAUUUCUAAGUGAAGGCAGCACAAUUAGUAUAAUUUUAUAAAAGUGGAAAACUGGAGUCUAAGAUGUUAAUAACUUGUCCGAGGUCCCAACACUGGAUGUCACUGGAGUGGGAAUUUGAAUCCCGGAUGCUUAUCCUUUAAGCACCCCAUCAUACUGUUAGUAGUGACGACAUCGCGGAAUUGUCACACAGGAGGACUGAAAGACAGGGACUCUCAGGGGCCAGAAAACAUGAGAGUGAAAGAGAGAUUCCGAAAAACAUCGAGAUUUGUGAAAAUGCUAUUAUGUGUUAGAUAGAAUGCAGGGUACUUUCCAUAAGUCAACUUGGUUAUUUCUCAGAGGAAUUCCAGGAAAUAGGAUUUUACACAUGUGGGAAACAGGCUGAGAGAGGUUAUUUAAUUUGCCAAAGGUCACACAGCUGGUAUUAGAGACAGAAUAUUAAAGUAGGCGUUUCUUACCCCAAAAUCCGCUCUCUGCACCAAGAGGCCACUCAGAAAAUAUAAAAAUAAGCAAAUCAAAUAAAUCGACUAUGUAAGUUUGAAGGCUUCAAGAAAAUAUAAAUACUUACACCCAGAAAUUCUAUGUCCUGGUUUCAUUCCUAGAAAACCACUUGUAGAGGUACACAGAGGACUCCCCAAUGAUCCUUAACACAGCCAUAUGACUGAUAGCCCUCAUCCCACCCCCCCAAAAACAGUCUAGUGAGAAGAAAAUGCUUAAAAAUACUCUGAUGCAUGCAUAUCAUAGAAUUCUUUCCAGCAGUCAAAGAGAAUGAAGGCAAAAAAUGGAAAGCUCUCCAAAACAUAUCGUUCACUGAAAACCAAACUGUGACAUACUGCAUAGAGUUUGAUAGCAUUCCACAGAAUAAAAUUUUAUUCUGUGUGGACGUAUUAAUAUAUACAAAUGCAGACCGGGCACGGUGGCUCACUCCUGUAAUCCCAGCACUUUGGGAGGCCGAAGUGGGUGGAUUACUGAAGGUUAGGAGUUUGAGAUCAGCCUGGGCAACAUGGUGAAACCCCAUCUCUAUUAAAAAUACAAAAAUCAGCUGGGCAUCAUGGCGCACCCCUGUAGUAGCCUGUAAACCCAGCUACUCUGGUGGCUGAGGCAGGAGAAUCACUUGAACCUGGGAGCCAGAGGUUGCAGUGAGCCUAGAUCGUACCACUGCACUCCAGCCUGGGCAAGAGAGCAAGACUCUGUCUCAGAAAAACACAUAUGCAAAUGCAUAUAAUAAAAGUCUUGGAGAAAUGGAACGUACAUCAAACAGACAACAGAUUGGCAUUGAGAUGCCAAGCCAAAGGAAUGCUUCCUUAUCUAUAUUUUCAUUUUUUUUUUUACAAUGAGGAUACAUUUUUUAAUGAGAAGCAAUAUAGCAUAAUGGUUAAGGGCAUAGCUCCUAGAGCCAGUUCAAAUCCCAGCUCUGAAGCUUACCAGCACUGUGCCUGCGUCAUGACUUAAGCUGUCUGUAUAGUGGAGAUGCUGGGCAUGCCAACCUCCCAGAGAAGCUGUGAAGAUUAAACGAAGAGUUAUAGGUAAUGCACUCAUAAAAGCUGCUGGGGCUGGGUGUGGUGGCUCAUGCCGGUAAUCCCAACACUUUGGGAGGCUGAGGAGGGUGGAUCCCCUGAGGUCGGGAGUUCGAGACCAGUCUGGCCAAGAUGGCGAAACCCCAUCUCUACUAAAAAUACAAAAAUUAGCUGGGCAUGGUGGCACACACCUGUAAUCCCAGCUACUCUGGAGGCUGAGGCAGGAGAAUCACUUGAUCCUGGGAGGUAGAGAUUGCAGUGGGCCGAGAUUGCGCCGUUGCACUCCAGCCUGGGUGAAUGAACCAGACUCUGUCUCAAAAAGAAAAACUUCCUGGCAUGGAGUGAGGGCUACCUAAACAACUGAGACCAGGAGGCAGGGGAUAGGGAAGGUAUGGGAAAUCGGCCAGCACAAUUACCACCUGAUGGUGGGAGUUCACACGCAAGAAUCCACUUUGCAUACCUGUGUGCUGUGCAUCCCUGUGGAAAACACCACCACUCCCCACAGCACACCCAGAUAAAGUACUGGGCAGCAUGGCCUCUUCCCCUGGUCCCCAAGACACCUGAGGACAGCCUCCACUGGCAGCACUGAUGUCGGAUACCUAUCAGGAGGUGAUGUUGGGAAAACCACACUACAGCCUAGGUGAGUAUACCUCCAAAUUCAUGUCCACCUGGGACAUCAGAGUAUGCCCUUAUUUGAAAAUCAUGUCUUUGCAGAUAUAAUUGUUUAAGGAUCUUGAGAUAAAGUCAUCCUGGAUUUAGGGUGGGUCCUAACUCCAACGGCUGGAGUCCUUAGAAGAAGAGGAGACAUACCAAGGGAAGAAGGUCACCUGGAGAUGGAGGCAGAGAUUGCAGAGAUGCAGCCACAAGCCAAGAAACACCUGGAGGCACCAGAAACUGGAGGACGCGAAGAAUGGCCCUCGCUUAGAGCCUUCAGAGGGAGCAAGGCCCUGCUAACACCUUGAUUUUGGACUCUGGCCCCCAGAACUGAGAGAAUAAAAUUCUGUUGUUGCAACCCACCAUGCUUGUUAUUUGUUAUGGCCACUCUAGGAAACUACUUCACUGGGGACACCUGAAGGUGCAGUACCUGAGUUCCUAUCACUCCUCCACCUGCGUUUCUCUAUGGGAGGAAGGAGGCGGGGCUUGCUUUGGGAGAGGCAGCUGUCUGGGGUUGGCCCCGUGCACUUUCCAUGGGGUGUAAACAGUGUCUCCUAACCUGUGUUAGAGGCUUUCCAUGGUCUGAGUGAGCCCAGUGCCAGGAAAACUCACUUCUCCCUGCAGCAAGAGAACACACAGGGCUGAUACAUUAACACCAUGACCUUUUUAGCACCUGG